GCCCCCAUCGUCUAGAGGCCCAGGACGCCACCCUUUCAAGGUGGAGAUCAGGGGUUCGAAUCCCCUUGGGGGCA
rnacentral:tRNA from 3 species